ACGCUCGACACCUACGGGAGACAGCAGUGGGGAAUAUUGCACAAUGGGGGAAACCCUGAUGCAGCGACGCCGCGUGAGUGAAGAAGUAAUUCGUUAUGUAAAGCUCUAUCAGCAGGGAAGAAAGUGACGGUACCUGAGUAAGAAGCCCCGGCUAACUACGUGUCAGCAGCCGCGGUAAUCUGAGCGGGCUGGCAAGGC
rnacentral:rRNA from 1 species